AACCGGUGAUCUCAAGCUACCCGACCUUAAUAGAGUUCCAUCUGAGGAAAUAGAUAGUGCUAAAUUCAAAACUCCUAGAGUAGUGAAACCUGUGGACCGAAAUAAAACGAAAAGUUUCACCUUCCCUCGCAUUGACAACUCCAAGAACAGUCUCAAGAUAAAGAUAAACAAGAAAGGAAUAUUCCAGUACCAAGGUUCCAGCUUAUUUUCUGCUGGCCAUCAUCAUCAGAGUUUGCCAAAGGGUCUUCUAAAAGUAGUCCCUAAAUCUUUUUCUGCCAUUCUCAGGGAAUCCUAUGUAGCACCAGGAAACAAUCUCCUGCAAAACCAUGAAACCGGUUCAAAGAGUACUAGAUUUGCAGCGUCUCCAUACUCAGGUUCGAGAUUUGAGAAAUCACCCUACGGAAGUAGGGCUUGUUCUAUCGCAAAUCUCCCAAAAUGCUUACUGAAUCACCAAGACCCUUUCUUAAACUAUUUGGAAACUACGCAAAGCUCA
rnacentral:lncRNA from 1 species